UGAGAGAGAUUCUCUUGGUACAUUUGU
rnacentral:piRNA from 1 species